rnacentral:rRNA from 1 species
CUACGGGAUGCUGCAGUGGGGAAUAUUGCGCAAUGGGCGAAAGCCUGACGCAGCAACGCCGCGUGAGGGAUGACGGCCUUCGGGUUGUAAACCUCUUUCAGCAGGGAAGAAGCGAAAGUGACGGUACCUGCAGAAGAAGCACCGGCUAACUACGUGCCAGCAGCCGCGGUAAUACGUAGGGUGCAAGCGUUGUCCGGAUUUAUUGGGCGUAAAGAGCUCGUAGGCGGUUAGUCACGUCGGAUGUGAAAUCCCAAGGCUUAACCUUGGGCCUGCAUUCGAUACGGGCUGACUAGAGUGUUGUAGGGGAGACUGGAACUCCUGGUGUAGCGGUGAAAUGCGCAGAUAUCAGGAAGAACACCGGUGGCGAAGGCGGGUCUCUGGGCAACUACUGACGCUGAGGAGCGAAAGCGUGGGGAGCAAACAGGAUUAGAUACCCUGGUAGUC